rnacentral:RNase_P_RNA from 1 species
CCUGUGCAUCGCUCCACCGCUUUCCGCCGUUCGGCGGAGGGAGGAAAGUCCGGACAGCGUAGGGCACCGUGCUUCCUAACGGGAAGGGGCGCUAAGGGGAACCGAAGCGUUACGGAAAGUGCCGCAGAAAGGGAAACCACCUCGUUUCGGCGGGGAAAGGGUGAAAAGGUGGGGUAAGAGCCCACCAGCGUUGGUGGCAACAUCAGCGGCUUGGUAAACCCCACGGGCUGAAAGACCAUGUAUACCGGGGUUCCGGUUGCCGCAAGGUGAUCGGAAAAGGGUUGUCCGCCCGAUCCCGGAGGGUAGGUCGCUAGAGGUCGUACGUGAGUGCGAUCCCAGAUAGAUGGUGGAGGUCCAUAGCAAUAUGGAUACAGGAUCCGGCUUAUAGAUGCACAGGGACU